GCAGUGGCACGGUGUACCAAGUGGCACCCGGAUGGUGGGCUUGGGAACCCUGCGCACAUCGUUUGAGGCCGUGGCGGAAACCUCGGCCGGACUUCCGUACGGGUUACUCUCAGAUAGGCGAUAAACCUGGACUAGGUAUUAGCAUGGUUAACGGUCGUGGCCGACUCCCUCGCUGGGCUUCCGCUUGAAGGUUACCGAGGUGCAUGACUGCACAUGGCGAUAAGUGGCGAGAGCGUGUGUGACGAAGUACACUCCUGCAUAGUUAUGAUCUAUUCGAAUAGCCGCGUCCGCGAAUAUGGACUACUUGGAGGCAUAUGUUGUUCAUAGAUAACUUCAAUGGCUACUCAUAAAAUUGUCAAGAUAAGCUGAGUGUCGUGGACGGCAUUUCCGUAUGGAGACGGAAUGAUUCCACGAUGGAGUAUUGUUGUGGUGUUAGUGGACUCGUGUGCGAGGAAUCAAGUUGUCAAAAUUAUUUAAAAAUGCAAGUUGUCUAGCCACGAGUCAAAUGCUGGCUUUCCGCAUGAAACCCCACAAUACCUUAUUGAUACAUUGCAUGAGUAGAUAGUUGUCCUAAAGUCUAGCUGAGUACCUCCAUACUCAUGUUUGAUUAAUAAAUAUUGCAGAGGUUGCUAAUGACCCUAAUGGAGGGUUCUUUAUAGACAUCAACAACGACGAGUAGCUGGUGUCCCAGCUACGAUUUGGCCCUAGGUUGGGUCUGUAGUAUAGUUAGGCCAUGUGCAUUCUAGUUGCACCUGUGUGUACUCAGACAGUUUUAAACACUUCCGCUGGCUUGUAACUGAAUGACUGCUAUUAUGGGUCGUGAGACCCUUACUGUGUAAUAUUAUGUGUGUGGCUCUUGCGAGCCUCUUAAAUAAAGCUUGUAUGUUUAUGGUUAUGUUGUGAUGCCAUCGAUGUAUCUAUACAUAUCGGUAUGCCAUGCGUACGUGUGUCGUACUUGAUAUGUAUGGGGUUCGAUUACCUAGUCGUGAAUUUUAGUAGCACUCCUUACAGCGAAAUGCCCCUUUGUGAUCCAACGAGCCAUGGUAGCUCGCUACUGCUCCGGACACAUUGGUUGACCGGCAUGUGUCCUUCUUAGCUGAUGUGUCUGUCCCCUAUGGGGAAAUGUCACGCGAUGUAAUGGAGUCCUUGUAGCUUGCUACGACUCGUCUACACUCGCUGGUGACCGACACCUGCUUUGUUGGGUCAUGUAUGCCUGUCCUUGUGCGGUACUGCCACUUUGGUUUAUGACCAGACUUGUCGAUCCGGGUUCUUUGACAUUGGAAUGCUAGCGACACAAUUGCAUACGUGAGUCAAAAGACGCAAACGGUCCGGGCUAAGGUAAGGCUGCAGCCGUGGUGUUAACCGUGCGUGAGACCGCAAAGGGAUGCGAUGUGUUACAGGCUGGAUUCCUAUAGCUUAGGAUCGGGGUCCCGACAGCGUUGGUAUCAGAGCCUGACUGACUGUAGGAUUACUAAGCCAAACUGGUCGAAGUUGAGUCUAGAAUUUCUUUAGUUAUAUAUAAGGGAAUUGUUUGUGGAAGGGAACGUAAGACUCUUGUUCUCUUCUUAAGUUAUUCUAUUCUGGUCAUCCUCGUCUUUUCUGCGGGAAUUGAGGACUAGGUUACUCAUCUUCUUCUAGGCUUGUGUUUCUGAUUGGUAGAUUAUAGGACUACGGGUCAAGAGAUAUUUGGGUUUCUUUCAUUCCUAGGAAAAAGGAAGUAAGUUUGAUGAUCAGAGAAUUAAACUUGAUACUUGAGUGGUUACGCUAUUCCAUUUUGGGUUGUCUCAAAAUUUGUUUUUGAGCAUUUACAGCCGUUAUGCUGCCCAAUUUUGCAUUCGGAGCUCUAAUGCUUUUGCAUUACUCUCUAUUUACAGAUGCCUGGUCAUCCUUCUCGUCAGGUGGUACGUCUGACCAGGUGCAUUGAUGCUGGUCAGGGUGAUGUCGAUGUGCGGUUACCGUUGGUACCCUGAGUACACAGUGGAGGAACAAUACCGAGACUUCAACCAGAGCCAGUAUAUCUGCACUGUUAGGGUAUUUCCAGGCUACCCUGGAGCUGAGGAGCCAAUCCAUUGGUCCUAUGGGUUGGGAGUCACUGUUGACAUGGCAGUACAAGAUGCUGCCUAUUCAAUGCUGACCAUUAUGAGAGCGUGACAUGACCUGCUGCAGAAUUCAGAAUUCUGUUAUGUUCCGGCCUCUCAGCGUGGUGAAGAGGGAUACCUCAGCAGAGUCUAUUUUGAUUCUUCUAUGGAGGAUCCACUACUACAGUCCACUGUUGAGAUGCUAGAGAACAGAGACAGGGAUGCUCGUGCUCUCCGCAUGGAGCUUUAUGCUACCCGUGCCCGUCUGUGGACGGCUUUGACGUAGCUGGCACCGGUAGUCCAGACAGGGUACGGAGAUAUGGAGAUGCUGAACCCUGUUAGGACCCAUCUUCCGGCCCACGUUGACUGGCCAGCUAUAGGAGGAGUCACCCCUCUUCGGGGACCCCUCUUACCACCAGUCAGGGGACCAAGGCCACAUCCGUGUCCUUAUGGAUCCGAGGGAUCUCAGGCUAGAGUGUUUCCUGAUCCGCAAGUUGAGCUUCCAGGUCAUGGAGGUAAUCUCUAUGAGAUGUUCUAUGCGGAUGCCUGAGCUGUGAGCGGAAGGAUAGUAUGGUAGUAGCCGUACGUUCACAGUCCUGUGUGACUUGUGAAGUAUGCCUGUGAUGUGAAAUGAAUUCCGGAGGCCUAGAUAAAUAAUGUAUAGGAAGUUUGUAAGCCUCCGAUGAGUAGUUUCAUAAUUUCAGUAGUUUGCUCUUCGAGUAAGGUUGUACUGAACUAUGUAAGGGUGUGUAUGAACCAUGGUGUAUAUAUAGCAGUUGCUCGUUACCAUGUUGUUCGGAUAUUCAUUUCGGNNNNNNNNNNNNNNNNNNNNNNNNNNNNNNNNNNNNNNNNUUCAUAUCUGCAUUCCGUGUGUUCAGUACAUUCUUAAUCCAUAGCUAGUAUUGAUAUGAUAUUGCUCUAAGCUGUGAGUUUGUUUGUCAGGAUGGUGUUCACCAGGUUGAACUGUGCCCCUGCUCAUGAGCAAGGCGAGGGUAGUCAAGCAUCGCAGGAAGACCUGCCUCACCUGCCCUCUCUGGCGGAAGUUAUGCUUGAGGCAGAGAGAAAUAAAAGGGAGACCAACCGACUGUUAGAGCGUAUUGAGCAGAAUACGGCUCGUCAACCUAGGAAUGCUGCAGUGUCCCUCAAUGACUUUAUGAAGCUGAAUCCUCCAAAGUUUCAUCACUCCGUCGAUCCCCUCGACGCUGAUGACUGGCUGUGCAGCAUCUCACGGAAGAUUCGCUCUGCGAAUGUUUCUGAGGCCGACAAGGUGACCUUUGCGGCCUAUUUCCUAGAAGGACCCGCCAAUCUGUGGUGGGAGAACUUUGAAGCGAUGCGUCNNNNNNNNNNNNNNNNNNNNNNNNNNNNNNNNNNNNNNNNNNNNCUGAACCAGCAACCACAUGGGCAGACUUCAGUGCAGCCUUUCGUCUGCACCAUAUUCCAGAGGGCCUGAUGGACAGAAAGAGAGAGGAGUUUUGUGCCUUCACUCAGGGCAAGUUGACCGUGGAUGCCUAUAGCCGCGAGUUCGGUAACCUCGCCCGCUAUGCAACAGAGGAGGUGUCUACUGAUGCAAAGAAGCAAGCAAGUUUCCAUAAGGGUCUGAGCCCUCAGCUUCGUCGUGAUCUGCGCCUCCACGAGUGUGCAAGCUUUCAAGCCCUGGUCAACAAGGCGAUCAAUGCCAAGACUGGUCAUACUGACUUUGAACCCACAAGGAAGCACUCCCGUGACUUUGGCUCGUCUUCUGGUUCCGCGUUUCCAAAACGCAGGCUGUGGGUUCCGAACAGUUCUCUGCCGCCAAGAUACACUCCGAGGCCAUCCUACGUGGCGCCUCAGACGAAUCAGACCAACACUCCAGCAAAAACUUAUGGUGGUCCAGCUAGCAAUGCUGCACCACGUGCCAACCAAGUGAUAUGCUACAAGUGUGGAGAACCUGGGCACUAUUCCCGUGAGUGUCCUCAAAAUGUGGGUGCCAAGCAACCCGGAAAAUCCGUCGGGCAAGGCAAGUCGGGCAAAGCUUACUAUGUGAAGCCAACUCCUGCACGUGGCCGUGUGAACUAUGUCUCAGCAGAAGAAGCUGCAGAGGAUCCCGACGUCAUACUGGGUACGCUUCUUGUUAAUCAUCACUCAGCGUCUGUUCUCUUUGACACUGGGUCUUCUCAUUCUUUCAUUUCAGAAAGUUAUGCACAGUUGCAUAACAUGUCUUUUUGUGAUAUGCCAAUUCCAUUGGUUGUCCAAACUCCUGGUAGUAAAUGGAAAACCUCUAGGAUAACCUAUGACAAUGAAAUUCUAGUAGACAGGCUAGUUUUUCUAGCCUCAUUGAUAGCCUUGAAUUCUUCGGAUAUCAAUAUCAUCUUGGGUAUGGACUGGAUGUCAGCUCACUAUGCCAAGAUUGAUACUCAUUCUAGAAAUGUCCAGCUUACCCAUCCCUUGGGUGAGAUAGUAAAUGUCUCUACUCGAUUUGCCAAAUGCCAACUCUAUUCCUUAAAUGCCAACCCUCUUCCGGAACUUGAAGACAUUCCGGUAGUCCGUGACUUUCCGGAUGUUUUUCCAGAGGAACUGCUAGGAAUUCCACCUGACAGAGAUGUAGAGUUUGUGAUAGAUCUUGUUCCGGGAACUGUCCCAAUAGCCAGAAGACCAUAUAAGAUGGCACCCCUGGAGCUAGCCGAACUUAAGAAGCAACUAGAUGAGGCCUUGAAUAAAGUUUCAUUAGUCCUAGCUCUUCUCCUUGGGCUUGCCCCGUCCUAUUCGUCAAGAAGAAAGACGGAACGGUUCGGAUGGUUGUAGAUUACCGACCAGUUAAUCUGGUCACCAUAAAGAACAAGUAUCCGCUCCCCAGGAUCAACGAUCUGUACGAUCAGCUCGCUGGAUCCUUAGUCUUCUCCAAAAUGGAUUUGAGGUUGGGAUACCAUCAAAUCAAGAUCAAGAACGGGGACAUUCCAAAAACGGCUUUUGUUACUCGUUAUGGCCAAUACGAGUACACCGUCAUGUCCUUCGGUUUAACCAAUGCCCCAGCCACCUUCUCUCGUCUGAUGAAUUCAAUCUUCAUGGAGUAUUUGGAUAAAUUCGUCGUGGUAUACCUCGAUGAUAUUCUCAUCUACUCGAAGAACGAACAAGAACAUGCCGAGCAUCUAAGGCUGGUAUUGAUGAAACUUCGAGAGCAUCGCCGGUAUGCCAAGUUUUCAAAAUGUGAAUUUUGGUUACCAGAAGUGACCUAUCUAGGUCACGUAAUCUCUGGUAAGGGUAUUGCUGUCAAUCCCGAGAGAGUUCAAGCUAUCCUUGAUUGGACUCAACCUGAAUCGGUUAAGCAAGUUAGGAGUUUUCUUGGUCUAGCGAGCUAUUGUCGCCGCUUUGUCGAGAAUUUCUCCAAGGUUGCGAAGCCUCUAACUGAACUCCUCAAGAAGGAUAAGAAGUUCGAGUGGACACCACAGUGUGAGCAUCGUUUUCAGGAACUGAAAAGACGCCUGACUUCCGCACCUGUGUUGCUACCACCAGAUUUUUCUAAGGACUUUGUUAUCUAUUGCGGCGCCUCGUGAGAAGGAUUAGGUUGCAUUCUCAUGCAAGAUCGUCAUGCGAUCGCAUACGCAUCUCGACAGUUGCGUCCACAUGAGGAUAAUUGUCCAACACAUGACCUUGAGCUUGCAGCUGUGGUCCAUCCACUAAAAACCUGGCGACAUUACCUUCUGGGUAAUCGUUGCGAAAUAUUCACCGAUCACCAAAGUCUGAAAUAUAUCUUCACCCAGCCGGAUUUGAAUCUUAGGCAAAGAUGGUGGGUUGAGUUGAUCUCGGAUUACGACUUAGGGAUAACUUACACCCCGGGGAAGGACAAUGUUAUGGCUGAUGCACUAAGUCGUAAAUCUUAUUGUAACAAUUUGAUGCUACAACAAGGUCAAACACAUCUCUAUGAGGACUUUCGGAAGUUGAAUCUUCAUAUUAUUCCUCAAGUAUUCCUUUCUACCCUGGUGGCGAAGCCUACUCUUAGGGAUCAAAUCAUAGCCGUGCAUGCUUAUGAUAAGGGUAUAUCCCGGAUCAAGGAGAAUAUUGCUAGCGGUAACGCUAGGGAUUUCUCCAUCAAUGAGAAAGGUGUUGUGUUCUUUCAGAACCGUUUAGUGGUUCCUAAGAGCAAACGUCUGCGGCAAUUGAUCCUUAAGGAGGCUCAUGAUUCUCCUCUCACCAUUCAUCCCGGUAGUACUAAGAUGUAUCAGGACCUAUGCCAGAGGUUCUGGUGGAUUGGAUGAAGAGAGAAAUUGCUGAGUUCGUUGCUAACUAAGAUGUUUGUCGUCGAGUUAAGGCUGAACAUCAAAGGCCUGCUGGCACCCUUCAACCUCUAGCUAUUCCUGAAUGGAAAUGGGAUAAAGUUAGUAUGGAUUUCAUUACCAGAUUUCCCAAGACCAAGAAAGGAAAUAAUGCUAUCUUUGUGGUCAUUGACCGUCUUUCUAAAGUGGCUCAUUUUCUUCCCGUUCGUGAGAGUAUAACAGCUAGCCAGCUAGCGGAGUUAUAUAUCUCUCGAAUAGUGUCUCUUCAUGGUGUUCCCUUGGAGAUUAACUCGGACCGUGGAAGUAUCUUUACUUCUCGCUUCUGGGAAAGUUUUCAGAAUGCCAUGGGGACUCACCUAUCUUUUAGCACUGCUUUCCAUCCCAAUCAAGUGGUCAAGUAGAAAGAGUGAAUGAAAUCCUAGAAAAUAUGCUCCGAGCUUGUGUUAUAUCGUUCGGUAUGAAUUGGGAGAAGUGCCUUCCAUUCGCCGAAUUCGCUUAUAACAAUAGUUAUCAAUCAAGCUUGGGCAAGGCUCCUUUUGAAGUUCUCUAUGGAUGAAGAUGUCGAACACCUCUUAAUUGGUCAGAAACCGGAGAGAGGCAACUCUUUGGCCCGGAUAUGAUCUAGGAUGCAGAAGAGCAGGUUCGCAUUAUUCGUGAAAAGUUGAAAACAGCCCAGUCUCGUCAAAAGAGCCAAUAUGACCGUCAUCAUAAGGCUAUGACCUUUGAAGUUGACGAGAAGGCUUACCUUCGGGUUACACCUCUGAAGGGUACCCAUCGAUUCGGUAUCAAGGGCAAGUUGGCUCCUCGUUACAUUGGUCCUUUUCGCAUUCUUGCCAAACGAGGAGAAGUUGCCUACCAGUUGGAACAUCCUCCGCAUCUUUCCAAGGUUCAUGAUGUUUGCCACGUCUCGAACUCACGCGUUGCUUUUCGUAUCCUAUCCGUGAAGUGGACCACGAAACACUUGAUCUCCAAGAUAACCUUUCAUACCGAGAAUACCCCGUGCGUAUUCUUGAUCAAGCUGAGCAUACCACUCGACGUCGAAACCUCAAGUUUCUUAAAGUUCAAUGGUCAAAUCAUUCUGAAAAGGAGGCAACUUGGGAAAGAGAGGAUCGUCUCCGACUUGAGUAUCCUGCGUUAUUCCCGACGACUUCUAAAUCUCGGGACGAGAUUCUUUUGAGUGGGGGUGAGUUGUCACAUCCCUGACACCUUAAUCAAGUUAGCUUUGUGCUCAUGUUUUCUUUGCAUUGCAUCUAGGAAAUUUUCAACAAGAACAAAGUAAGUGUUGAAGGAAAACUCAAAAACCCUAGCCACUUCUCAAAAUGAAGGAAAAUCCAAACUAGUUAAAAUCCAUGAACCCAAAAUGGCCUCAAGAAAAGUUCAAUCUUUUUGAUAAUUCUUGGAAACAAAUAAGCAAUGAAGGAAACCAUUUAUUUUAUACUCUUGGCAUUUUAAAUAAAUGCAAAAAGCUACUGGUUUCAAGUUUAAAAUUUGAAUCAGAAACUUUAAGUUUUCAAAAUUGUUGAAAACUUUAGGAAUGGUUGGAUACAUUCCAACUAAUAUUCUGGGGUGUUCAAAAUAUUUUUACAAAUUAUUUUGGAGCUGAAAUAAAUAGCAAAACAAUAGUUAGCAAAACAGAAACAAAAACAGAAAAGAAAAGAGAAAGAAAAGAGGAAAAUCCUUACCUGUCGCCUGAGGAGGCCCAGCCCACCAGGGGCAGGGUCGUCUUAUUCCUCUGCCUUCUGGCAGAGGGGAGAUCGACCACGGCGGCCCCCUCCACCUCCUGCUUCGCCGUGGCGACCUCUAGUGCCCCCCAGGACAGCACGACAGCGGGGAUAUCCACCUCGAGACCGUCCCUAUCUGUUCCCCAGCUCUAGUUUCCCCCCUCCUCUCGGGAUCUCUCCUCCCUCCUUCUGCCGCCAUUGUCAAGAGCUCGAGCUCGAGCCGCCGCGCCUCUAGCCAUAGGACCUCCCUUCCGAGUAGUCUAGUAGCUUCUCCCCGUCGAGCUGGUUCUCUCUGCCAAGGCUGAAGUCUCCCCGAGCUCUGCAACGUCCCCAACGCCAUCGUCUUCAACCUUCGGUCGCCGACAAAUCGACGGUGAAACGCCGGCUACAGCCCCUCCCCGAGCAGUCUGAUCCUAGCUUCACCUCCACCAUGAGCCUGCGAUCAUUUCCCCUCUCCUUCCCCUCGGAUCCAUGCCCCCUAGCCACUGGACCAUCGAACCCGUACUCCGGCAGCCGCCCCGGCUCGUCGCCGACUUACUCCGGCCACCUAUAGCUCUCCCUGAGGCCAGCGCUGGAUGAGGUCGACCCUGGGGAUCAUCCCAGUGCUCUCGGCAUCCUUUUCCGAGCACCACAACACGUUAUAGCGUGUCUCCGGCGAGGUUCUACCGCGGAUCUGUUCGCCGCCGGCCAUGCUCCGGCGGGGAACGACGUGGCCAGCCUAACCUAGUAGUUUAAAGUCUCAUCACUCGCUGACAGUGGGCCCAAGGACAAGUCAAACUCAGUUAGGGGCUGGUCAGCGCGGGAUUAGCCCCUGAGACGCUGACCAGUGGGUCCCCGCUGUCUGGUUUGACCUGCUGACACCACGAUGAUGCAGUAAUGACGCAAUAAAGGGGUUUUCCAGUAUAAAAAUAAUUCCAGAAAUGUUUAAAACUUCUAAAAUUCAUAGAAAUUAAUCUGUAACUCCAAUGAAAAUAAUUUAUCUAUGAAAAAGUAUCAGAAAAAUUCAAGGAAUCUAAAUAUGUCAUUUUCAAACAUGUUUGAAAAUGUUACAGAACCCAAACAUGUAGAUUAAUGAAUAAGUUAAUUAUUAUAAAUACUUUGUAGAUGGAAUUUGGAAAAUAUUUAAAUUUCAUCAUAAAUCACAUGAUCAAACACUGUCCUAAUUACAAAUUAGCAACCUUACAUGUCAUCCCAUGCAUGUUGAAAGCAAGUUGAUCUGAGCAUCAGGUCGAAUCAAUUAAAAUGGUAUCCGAGAAUACCUCGUUUGAAGUGAUAUUUGAAUUUAAUUCAAAUCAACUUCAAACAUACUAAAUGUUAGCUAUAAUAAAAUACCACCUUGCAUCCUCAUGCCAUGCUCAUGCAUCUUCUUGAUUGCAUAUGUUUGUUAUCGAUUGUUGUCAUUCCUUUCGGUAGACUCCGCUCCCCCGGAUUCCACCGAAUAUCCGUCUGACGAAUAUUGUCACUCCUCUGAGCAACAAGGCAAGCAACCAUUUUCAUCAUUCCGAUAAAUCCCAUGUUCUUGCUCCUGCACUUACUUAUUGCAUUAGGAUCAAAUGCUUCAACUGCUUUUGCCACGUUAGUUGAACCCACUUCCUUUGCAUGACAUAUCCUUGUCACAGUAAAUAGCUGAACCUUGCAACCUAGCAUACCUGGUAGUUGCUUGAGCUAAGAUGUGCCUUAUCCUGCUAUGCAUGCUAUGCUUAGAGUUGUAUGGUCUAUCAUCUGGGACAUGAACAGAAUUGUGAGAAUGUGUUCGGUAAGCAAAGGUUGUGUUUUGAACCUGAUUUGGUAAAGGUAGCGGUGAAAGGUUGUGUAGGAGUACAAGGCGGGUUGUUUCAUUGGAACCGUCCUUAGGAACUGAGUUCCGUGUAUGUAAUCCAAGACUAGAUACUACCAUACAUUGGGAUACUUAAUUGACCCUCUCGACUUAUUAAUCGCUUAGUACUCGGUCCAGGAGUUGCAAGUAGUUUCUGGUGUUUAUAGUCAUGCUGGAGGCCGUGCAUAGCGCUGACCUAAGAGGUGGGCUGUGAUGCGGUAGGCAGUGGCACGGUGUACCAAGUGGCACCCGGAUGGUGGGCUUGGGAACCCUGCGCACAUCGUUUGAGGCCGUGGCGGAAACCUCGGCCGGACUUCCGUACGGGUUACUCUCAGAUAGGCAAUAAACCUGGAUUAGGUAUUAGCGUGGUUAACGGUCGUGGCCAACUCCCUCGCAGGGCUUCCGCUUGAAGGUUGCCGAGGUGCAUGACGUGCACAUGGCGAUAAGUGGCGAGAGCGUGUGUGACGAAG
rnacentral:lncRNA from 1 species